rnacentral:rRNA from 1 species
UACGUAGGGUGCGAGCGUUGUCCGGAAUUAUUGGGCGUAAAGAGCUCGUAGGCGGUCUGUCGCGUCGGUCGUGAAAACUUGGGGCUUAACCCUGAGCUUGCGGUCGAUACGGGCAUGACUGGAGUUCGGCAGGGGAGACUGGAAUUCCUGGUGUAGCGGUGAAAUGCGCAGAUAUCAGGAGGAACACCAGCGGCGAAGGCGGUGCUCUGGGCCGGAACUGACGCUGAGGAGCGAAAGCGUGGGGAGCGAACAGG